rfam:Schistocephalus solidus strain NST_G2 genome assembly, scaffold: SSLN_scaffold0011414
AGAGGCGUCUGUCUGUGCAUGGCAGCCAUCGUGUGGCCGUUGGAAUGGUUUUGAUCAUUCUGCGGUCUGCGUUGGAGCCGGUGCGUCAUCGAAGCAGAGCAGGAGCGUGCACUAUAAGACCCGGAAGAUGGUGAACUUUGCUUGCGUAGGUUGAAGCCAGAGGAAUCUCUGGUGGAGGACCACAGUGAUUCUGACGUGCAAAUAAAUCGUCAAACGUGAGUAAAGGGGCGAAAGAGAAAUCGAACCAUCUAGUAGCUGAAUCUUUCCGAAGUUUCCCUCAGGAUAGCUGGCACUCAUUCGCAAGAACAAUUUUAUCCGGUUCCAAACGAACUCAACCUUUUCUUAAACUUGAAAUGGGUGAGAUGCCCGGCUCGCUUUAUAGGAGUUAGGCUCUGAAUGUGCGAGUGUCAAGUGGGCCAUUUUUGGUAAGCAGAACUGGCGCUGAGGGAUGAACCAAACGCCCGGUUAAGAUACUUAACGCUGACUCUCAUGAGAUACCUCAAAAUUUGUUGUUUAAUAUAGACAAUAAGACUGUUGCCAUGGAAGUCAGCAUCCGCUAAGGAGUGGGUAACAACUCACCAGCCGAAUUGACCAGCCCUGAAAAAUGAAUGGCACUGGAGCAUCGGACCUAUACCGGGCCGUCACUGCAAGCUGGAUCGCUGGCUAUGCUUGGUGGUGUGAGCAUCACAUGGCCGGUUGCGUGAACAACAAUCGGUCGCUGUCUUGCGAAGCCAUGAUUAAGUCAAGGAGGCGGUGGUGGGUAGGAGGGUCGCCGUGGUGAGCGUGGAUGCCUCGGACGUGAGUCUGGGUGUAGCCGCCACGGCUUCAGAUCUUGGUGGUAGUAGCAAAUAUUCAAGUGAGAAACUUGAAGGCCGAGGUGGAGAAGGGUCCCGUGGGAACAGCAGUCGGUCAUGGGUCAGACGGUCUUAAGCGAUCCAUUGUCUCGGUACAGAGACAUGGGGUGCCUUGCAUACUUCUGUCUGUGUGCGUGCGUUUGCGCGCCUGCAAUCGGCAGCCUGCCGGAGCGAAAGGUAAUCGGGUUAAUAUUCCCGACCCUAUCCACGAAGAUAGGCAAGCGUUUGGCUGGGCCAUCCGUGUAUGCACAUUUUCGGUGUACGCAGCUGAGUUUUGUGUCUAGGCGCUGCAAACUUGGUGACAUCAGCUUCAGUUCUGGAAAAAAUUUUCUUUUCUUCGUAAGGAGUGCUCACCACCCCUGAAAUCAGGUGUUCCGUAGAUAGGGGUAUCGCUCUCUGAUCAGUCCUUGAAAAUCCGACGGAGGCAUUAUUAUUUUCGUGACAGGCCGUACCCAUAUCCGCAUCAUGUCUCCAAGGGAACAGCCUCUGGCA